UACGUAGGGACCAAGCGUUGUUCGGAUUUACUGGGCGUAAAGGGCGCGUAGGCGGCAAUUUCAAGUCAUCUGUGAAAUCUCCGAGCUUAACUCGGAACGGUCAGAUGAUACUGCUUUGCUAGAGUACAGAAGGGGCAAUCGGAAUUCUUGGUGUAGCGGUGAAAUGCGUAGAUAUCAAGAGGAACACCUGAGGUGAAGACGGGGUUGCUGGGCUGAUACUGACGUGAGGCGCGAAAGCUAGGGUAGCAAACGGG
rnacentral:rRNA from 1 species